CCCUUAGAUGUUCUGGACCGCACGCGCGCUACACUGAUUCAUGCAACAAGUUUUGUCCUUGGCUGAUAGGCCUGGGUAAUCUUUGAACGUGAAUCGUGAUGGGGAUAGAUGAUUGCAAUUAUUCAUCUUCAACGAGGAAUUCCUAGUAAACGCAAGUCAUCAGCUUGCAUUGAUUACGUCCCUGCCCUUUGUACACACCGCCCGUCGCACCUACCGAUUGAAUGGUCCGGUGAAAUCUUCGGAUCUGAGAGAUGUCUGAUUAAUUUCGGACGCCUUUUGGAAAAGUUGCUUAAACCUUACCAUUUAGAGGAAGGUGAAGUCGUAACA
rnacentral:rRNA from 1 species